AGCUCCAAUAGCGUAUAUUAAAGUUGCUGCAGUUAAAAAGCUCGUAGUUGGAUCUCAGGGUACCUGGUGUAGCCGGUAUAGCUCACGCUAAAACUGGUCUGACCCCGUAACGUGUGGUAUUCGUCUCCGGGUGCACUUCAUUGGGUGCUCGUGAGGGGCCUCGUAGUUACUGUGAAAAAAUUAGAGUGUUCAAAGCAGGAUCAUAUGUUCGGAUAGUCGUGCAUGGAAUAACUGAAUACGUGACUGGCGCUUGUCAGUUGGUCUCGGCGACUGGCCCAAUGAUUUAGAGGGACUGCCGGGGGCAUUGGUAUGGCGGGGUUAGAGGUGAAAUUUUUGGAUCCUCGCCAGACCCACAAAAGCGAAAGCAUUUGCCAAGAAUGUCUUCA
rnacentral:rRNA from 1 species